rnacentral:tRNA from 1 species
GGAGAGGUCGCAUAGUCUGGACUAGUGCGCGCGCCUGGAAAGCGCGUAGGCCCUCGUGGUCUCGUGGGUUCGAAUCCCACCCUCUCCGCCA